rnacentral:tRNA from 1 species
GGUGGCAUGGUGUAAUGGUCAGCAUGUAUCGUUGUGGCCGAUCCGAUCCCGGUUCGAUUCCGGGUGCCGCCA